rnacentral:rRNA from 1 species
GAUGAACGCUGGCGGCGUGCUUAACACAUGCAAGUCGAACGGAAAGGCUCCUGCUUGCAGGGGUACUCGAGUGGCGAACGGGUGAGUAACACGUGGGUGAUCUGCCCUGCACUUCGGGAUAAGCCUGGGAACUGGGUCUAAUACCGGAUAGGACGAUGGUUUGGCUGCCAUUGUGGAAGGUUUUUCGGUGUGGGAUGAGCUCGCGGCCUAUCAGCUUGUUGGUGGGGUAAUGGCCUACCAAGGCGUCGACGGGUAGCCGGCCUGAGAGGGUGUACGGCCACAUUGGGACUGAGAUACGGCCCAGACUCCUACGGGAGGCAGCAGUGGGGAAUAUUGCACAAUGGGCGCAAGCCUGAUGCAGCGACGCCGCGUGGGGGAUGACGGCCUUCGGGUUGUAAACUCCUUUCGCUAGGGACGAAGCGCAAGUGACGGUACCUGGAGAAGAAGCACCGGCUAACUACGUG